CAGCACUUUAAACACUCACUUUAAAAAAAAAAAUGAAUUAAGCAAAAUUUUCCUUCUUUAACCUUAGUUGGGAAGAGCAGCCAGUAGGAAGAGCAGUGGAAUUUCAAACAACCCUGUGCCACAGAUCACCCUAGUUGGAAAAAGGCAACAACUGAGAAGGACAUGCUUGUGUGUCCGUGAGACACCAUCCAUAUACGUAUUUCCAUUGGAAGACAAAUGUUUCUGUCACAGCCAGUAGAGCGACUGUCUUAACUCAUUUGCCUUUGGUGCCUGGCAGCAGUGGAGAUGCAACUGCCAAUGGAAGAGGAAUAGUGUGUCAGUAAUGCCUGCCGAACUGUCCCAGAAGUGGUGUGAGGUGGAGGAAUGUCUGCAACUUGAGAGACCGAGGGAUCCCGUAGUAUUAUGAACCUCUUGUUGCAGGUACGCUCUUGGAAAAUAAUUUGACAGAACUCUACUGAAUAAAACCUGUGUGAACUCCGCUUUAAGCCACAGUUAAGAAAAGUGAAGUCAAAAGAGCUCCUACCAAUGCCAUCAAUGGAAUCAAGAAAUACGACUUGUUGAAGUUACUUGAUCCAGCAAUCUAGCCAGUAUUAACAGAUAAAAACUGAUGAUCAAAUUAGCAGAGAAGAAAUUGUGUAAGAAAUAGAUUUAUCAAAAUCCAGAAUCAGCAUUCUUUAUUCAGUAUUAUUUAU